rnacentral:lncRNA from 1 species
CCUCUACUAGAUCUUCAUUCGGAGUCAAAGAGCCAGAGAUGGUGUCUGGUGCAAAGGCCAGACAAGGUUCGGUCCUAGCUACAGGUUCAUCUACGAUACCAGUACUAUGGAGAACUAGGGCUGACGAACUCCUAGAAUUGCUAGAAGAGAAGAUAUCAGAGGAUAUUUUGGAUCAAACGAAAGCCACAAAAAUCUCAAAAAAUUGGGAAAAAUAGCAGGCAGGCCCCCGAGAAAGCUAAAUAAACAGAAUACAAAGAAGAAAAGAUAGAAAAAUGAUAGAAAGUUUCGAAACUAACCUAGAUCGACCCC